rnacentral:rRNA from 1 species
GGGGAAUUUUCCGCAAUGGGCGAAAGCCUGACGGAGCAAGACCGCGUGGGGGAGGAAGGCUCUAGGGUUGUAAACCCCUUUUCUUUGGGAAGAACAAAAUGACGGUACCAAAGGAAUCAGCCUCGGCUAACUCCGUGCCAGCAGCCGCGGUAAUANCGGAGGAGGCAAGCGUUAUCCGGAAUGAUUGGGCGUAAAGCGUCCGCAGGUGGCAAUGUAAGUCUGCUGUCAAAACCCAGGGCCCAACUCUGGUCAGGCAGUGGAAACUACAUAGCUAGAGUUCGGUAGGGGCAAAGGGAAUUCCCGGUGUAGCGGUGAAAUGCGUAGAGAUCGGGAAGAACAUCGGUGGCGAAAGCGCUUUGCUAGACCGAAACUGACACUCGGGGACGAAAGCUAGGGGAGCGAAUGGGAUUAGAUACCCCAGUAGUC